AGAAGGGAAUUUAUGUGUGGAGCCGAAGGAAGUGGGCAAGGUCCUUAACAAGUACUUUGCAUCAGAGUUCAUGAAGGAGGAGGACAUGGUGGAAGGGAAUACACUGGGCAGGCCAAGAAGAAGAGAAAUCAGGUCCAUCUGUACCCUUGUCCCCAGGAUCUUCUCGAUUACACUACAGCACUCCAGUAUGUCCGGAGUCUACAGCAGGACCAGAGGUAAUGAAUCAGCGCUGCUGAGAAAUCCUGGAAAAACAUGAGCCGAGAGCCCUCGUAAACUAAGGCCUUCAGAACCUUCCUCUGGAUUCUGGAAGCUUCCAUGACUUUCUGCUUGUCUCUGUAAUUAUGGAACUGCACCAGAUAGUGUGAGGACAUUGGUCCAGACCUGAUCCACGCGCCGUGACUCGAGAACAAACCCACCCCUUCAAACUGAACCCUCACCAAAAUCGACCAAUCUGGUAAAUCUCCUCAGUGGGAGAGAUGAAGGUGCUUGAG